UGUGCUAGGCGGGGAGUUAGCGGUGCCCUGUACCUGCAAUCCGCUACAGCAGGGCUGAAUGAUCUCUCUCGACGUGGCAGGUGGAAGGCCGCGCGCCGUAAGGGGCGUUGAUCGCAAGGUCUUAUGCAACCGGAAGCUGCGAACCGUGUCAGGAUAGGGAUAUAGCAGCACUAAACAGUCUGAAGGUGUGCCAUAAGGUAGCUUUGCGGGAGUCACCUGCGUCG
rnacentral:SRP_RNA from 1 species